GUUGCCUCGGUGGCUGGUGCUGGAAACAGUGCUGCCACCGGUGGACUACUAAACUCUUGUUAAUUUUUGUCAAAUCUGAAUCAAACUAAGAAAUAAGUUAAAACUUUCAACAACGGAUCUCUUGGUUCUGGCAUCGAUGAAGAACGCAGCGAAAUGCGAUAAGUAAUGUGAAUUGCAGAAUUCAGUGAAUCAUCGAAUCUUUGAACGCACAUUGCGCCCAUUAGUAUUCUAGUGGGCAUGCCUGUUCGAGCGUCAUUUCAACCCUUAAGCCUAGCUUAGUGUUGGGAGACUGCCUAAUACGCAGCUCCUCAAAACCAGUGGCGGAGUCUGUUCGUGCUCUGAGCGUAGUAAUUUUUUAUCUCGCUUCUGCAAGCCGGCCAGACGACAGCCAUAAACCGCACCCUCUCGGGGGGCACUUUUUUAAUGGUUGACCUCGGAUCAGGUAGGAAUACCCGCUGAACUUAAGCAUAUCAAUAAGCGGAG
rnacentral:rRNA from 1 species